rnacentral:rRNA from 1 species
AGAUUAAACAUAAGAGUUUGAUCCUGGCUCAGAUUGAACGCUGGCGGCAUGCUUUACACAUGCAAGUCGAACGGCAGCACGGAGAGCUUGCUCUCUGGUGGCGAGUGGCGAACGGGUGAGUAAUGCAUCGGAACGUACCGAGUAAUGGGGGAUAACUGUCCGAAAGGAUGGCUAAUACCGCAUACGCCCUGAGGGGGAAAGCGGGGGAUCUUAGUGACCUCGCGUUAUUUGAGCGGCCGAUGUUGGAUUAGCUGGUUGGUGGGGUAAAGGCCUACCAAGGCGACGAUCCAUAGCGGGUCUGAGAGGAUGAUCCGCCACAUUGGGACUGAGACACGGCCCAAACUCCUACGGGAGGCAGCAGUGGGGAAUUUUGGACAAUGGGGGGAACCCUGAUCCAGCCAUGCCGCGUGUCUGAAGAAGGCCUUCGGGUUGUAAAGGACUUUUGUUAGGGAAGAAAAGCCGGGUGUUAAUACCACCUGGUGCUGACGGUACCUAAAGAAUAAGCACCGGCUAACUACGUGCCAGCAGCCGCGGUAAUACGUAGGGUGCGAGCGUUAAUCGGAAUUACUGGGCGUAAAGCGAGCGCAGACGGUUAAUUAAGUCAGAUGUGAAAUCCCCGAGCUCAACUUGGGACGUGCAUUUGAAACUGGUUAACUAGAGUGUGUCAGAGGGAGGUAGAAUUCCACGUGUAGCAGUGAAAUGCGUAGAGAUGUGGAGGAAUACCGAUGGCGAAGGCAGCCUCCUGGGAUAACACUGACGUUCAUGCUCGAAAGCGUGGGUAGCAAACAGGAUUAGAUACCCUGGUAGUCCACGCCCUAAACGAUGACAAUUAGCUGUUGGGACACUAGAUGUCUUAGUAGCGAAGCUAACGCGUGAAAUUGUCCGCCUGGGGAGUACGGUCGCAAGAUUAAAACUCAAAGGAAUUGACGGGGACCCGCACAAGCGGUGGAUGAUGUGGAUUAAUUCGAUGCAACGCGAAGAACCUUACCUGGUCUUGACAUGUACGGAAUCUCUUAGAGAUAGGAGAGUGCCUUCGGGAACCGUAACACAGGUGCUGCAUGGCUGUCGUCAGCUCGUGUCGUGAGAUGUUGGGUUAAGUCCCGCAACGAGCGCAACCCUUGUCAUUAGUUGCCAUCAUUAAGUUGGGCACUCUAAUGAGACUGCCGGUGACAAACCGGAGGAAGGUGGGGAUGACGUCAAGUCCUCAUGGCCCUUAUGACCAGGGCUUCACACGUCAUACAAUGGUCGGUACAGAGGGUAGCGAAGCCGCGAGGUGAAGCCAAUCUCAGAAAGCCGAUCGUAGUCCGGAUUGCACUCUGCAACUCGAGUGCAUGAAGUCGGAAUCGCUAGUAAUCGCAGGUCAGCAUACUGCGGUGAAUACGUUCCCGGGUCUUGUACACACCGCCCGUCACACCAUGGGAGUGGGGGAUACCAGAAUUGGGUAGACUAACCGCAAGGAGGUCGCUUAACACGGUAUGCUUCAUGACUGGGGUGAAGUCGUAACAAGGUAGCCGUAGGGGAACCUGCGGCUGGAUCACCUCCUUUCUA